UUUUGAUUGUUGAAAGCAUGGAUGUGAUAGAAAGGCGAACAAGCAAAAUAUUUGCCACUUAACCUGCCACCUAGAUCAGUAACUUCUGACGUCAGCCUGACAACUGUUACUCAUUCCAGGAUAACAAGCUGCUUUACCUGUGGAUUCAUUCACAUGACUGGAUGAAAAACUUCUGCAGUUUAAAUAACACCCGUGUAAAGAUUGGGUUAGAAGAAGGAAAGCAACUUUCCUGGUUACUAAACCAGGGGGGAAAAAUAUGCUCAAGGAAUAAAGCUUUCUUGCUAAUUUUUCUGGAAACUAUCUUUAUGAUAUGGAAACCUGUCCUUUAAUCCCCGAUUCAUUCCAUGGUUCAAAACGUAUUAUAAAAUCAUCAACCAAGUAGUUGAUUCUCAUUUAGAACAAUGCAUGUUAAUUUACUGGUUUAGCACAAUUUCAAGUGCUAAAUUCUUAGGGAAGUUUUAUACUGGUCUCUGUGUUCUGAAUAAAUUUGGCACAGCUGUAAAAAUAAAUAAAAUGUGUGAAAUUUAGGAUAAUCAUAAAACUACUCCUUUGUGAAUGAUGCAAUCAAGAUGCAAAUGGAUUUUGGAAUUAAAAACUGGUUCCAGGAGAUGAUGAACAGGAAAUGUUAAAACUCUUCAAUCCUACUUGGGUGUGGCAGCUAUACAACAAUCUAAAGGAGUGAAUGACAUAGUGGGCUGGGGUGUAUUCAAAUAAAGGUUUAUCACUGAAACUCUGCACUUAAAGACGUUCUCAAAUAGCAGAUUUUUCAGAGGUAUUUCGAGAGAAUUUGGUCACAGCUGAAAAAGCAGUUUAUGAACAAUGUGUGAUAUGAGAGUUUCGUUUAUGCUCACAAAUAUUAGUGUCCUUUUUAUUUCACUUCUGGGGAGACUCAAGAGGAAUUUUGCUCUUGCUGAGAGCAGAAAGAUCGAAACAAUUGGCCUGUCUUUGGAAGCACUCUUAAAGCUCACAAAUAUGGAAGCCUGCAAGUCAGUUAAGAACAGACUUUUGGAUCUUGACUUCCAUAAUCUGACUCUUGCAGCAGAGACAACUUGUCCCCCUACCGCAUCAUUAAUUCAAUGUGACCGUGGCGUCAUGGCACCAUAUCUUCACAUUUUGAUUAAUCCCACCCAGAGGAGAGCUUUUGUGACUGCAAGAUGUAAUGUGUUGCCAUCAGCUCUUGUGAUGGGAGAUAUAAAAAAGAGGAACAUUCCAAAAAGGUUUGUCCUUGUGACUUGGUCUCUGUUGAAAUACUUCACCAUUCUUUGUUUGUUUGCCCCAAAUAUCAUAAUAUAUGGAUGAAAUACAGGAAUUCCAUUCUUUCAUAGUAUUCUCAAUAGCAGGGGUGUUAUAAAAUUCAGUAUCUUCUGAACAACUCUGAUGUAUUCUUUUGUGAGACUGUUGCAAAUUUUAUCCCUGAGAUUAGUAACUUUUAAGAAUUUUUUAAUCUGUGAUUUUCCCUUGUAUUUACCAGUGUUGUGUGCUAAUUAUGUUGUUGUAUACCAAUAAAGGCUGUGUGUGUGAAUUAAAAUGUACCGCUAUGACCGCAAAUUUGCCUAAUUACAAUUCUGACUGUAGUCUCUGAUGCAUGUUUCCCCAAUGAUAAGUCACUUAUUGUAACCAAAAUCUAUCUACAUCUACUCUUGUAACUAUUGUAUUUCUCUCUCUCUCUCUCUCUCUCUCUCUCUCUCUCUCUUUUUUUUUUGCACAAACUCGGGAGGCAUCUCACUCCCCAGAUAUAGUGUAAGGUAAAGGUUUUCCCCUGACGUUAAGUCCAGUCGUGCAAGAUGUAGUGUAAGCACACCUUAAAAACACAGCAGCAUCUUCAUAAAGCUGCAAUGAGAUUGCAAUCCACCUAGCACACUUUCUCAUUGGUCUGACACAGAAGCUGUUGUUAUUGCUGCUCCAAGUCCCUGAUUGGUCAGUUAUUCAACAGGAAUCAUCUGGCUGGAAUUGUCAAUAUUUAUUCCUCAUUGGUUCCUGCUCUUCUCUUCCCACAGCCAGAAAAUGGGAGAACUGAAACGAAGUGCAGUUAUGAAAAGCAAUUUUCAUAACUGUCAACUUAUAACUACUGUAUUAGAAAGUUUAAAACAAGUUGAAAAGAACCCCAAGAAAAGGAAGGGAAAAGGUCAGAAAACUUUGCAAAGCUGUGUUUGAUUAUGCAAUAAAUGUGACAGUUCAGAUGUUUUACCACCUGCUUUGGAUCGCUGGGGGCCAUUACCAACCUUCACAUUGUUCAUAAGGUGUACCUUGAUCAGAAUACUUGCUCGGUAAGGCCUCGGUCAAGCUGUAGAGCAGCUUUCAAAAAGGUUGGUUAUUUCAGUAUCCAAUCACAGAGGUGUUACUGGGGCAUUCACUGUGAAAUACUGGUUUCCUUUGAGGUAAUUCUACAAGAUUGUCCAUUCAAUAUUUUAUAAUCUAAGGCCCCAGAGGAUAUACCAUAUUUACUUUAGGGUAGGCUUUGGGUCCAAAACUAUGGCUUUUGAUAUGACCUCUGGAUAAGGAUCAUUCUGUGGAGAGGGGAAAGCACUAGCACAGUCUUAGGGGGCCAGCAGGCACUGCCAGCUGCAGCCAUUUUUCAACACAGGUAGUAAAAAAUGCCGGAAGCAGCAACUUGGUGGAAAGCAUAGAGUGGGUCAGUGCUUCUUUUAGGUUCUCCAUUCACCACUCUAAUCAGAGAAGGGAAUAGUUUUUUAUAAAAAAAAAUAAGAGUUAAGAUACAGCACUUACACUGACCUUUGGAUAACCCAGGUUUGGGGGUUGAAUUUUUGAAUAAAAUUUCUAAAUAUACAUAAACAUAUGCAGUAGUCUAGCAAUUUCCCAUCAUUUCUCCACUUGAAAAUGAAUCAAGUGUGAACAAAACAACUAUUUAAAAAAACAUCCUAUGAAUGUGACUUAAUUAUUUCUCUGUCCUGCAGCUAUCUCAAGCUUGCUUGGUGAGGACAUAUAGAUAUGAGAAAGAGUCUUCUAAGUGGCUGCUUUUUAUUAUUUAUUAUUAUGUUUUUAAUUGGUUCUUUUUGUGAGCCACCUUUCACCAUAGUCUAUUAUGUAUUCUUAUAUGGGUUCUCCCAAGCAUCCAUCAAGUAGGCAAACAGAUGUCUUAUAUUUCUCAUUAUGCUUCCUGUGCAAGAGAACUACAUGUAAAGAACAUUUUUCCUUUUUGAUCACCAGCUGCUGACUGGCAAUCUUCUAGAUUCCAAGGGAAAUUAAGAAAUAUCCAUAAAGCAAUUGUAUAAUUUAUAAAAAAAAAAGAGAUAAAUGGCAAGGAAGAUGGGCAAAAGGGGGAAAAUUGGGACUGCCUGCUUUUCUGUCUGGUGACCUCUUUAACUCACCCUCUGUUCCACCAUACUUGGAAGGCACGAGUUGCCAAUGGUGGCAGGAAAAACAGAUGUUGCUCAGGCCAUGGGGAGAGACUAUGAAUACAACAGAGGCAUGCUUUGUUGAGACAAUAAGAGAGCUGAUUAUGUGAAAAUCAAAAGAGAAGACAGAGAAAUGGACAUGAUUUUCCACAACCCUACUUAGUUUUAUUUAUAUAUUUUUAAGUAACUACGAUUACUGUAUAAACUUGUAUAGAAACAAAAGUAGAAAAAUAAAUAGAAAAAUAGACAAAACAUCAACCCAAAAAACCUGGGUUGGUUUAUUUAGGGGUCAAUGUAAGAUGCCAUAUCAGCCUGGGCAAGAAAAUGUCAGUGGCUCUUUGGUGCUUCCCUGUCAUAGUUAAAAGAGUACUGCGGGCGAACGCUUUUGAGUUUUUCAAGAACAUGCUAAGCUCAUGUCUUUUGCCAC
rnacentral:lncRNA from 11 species